GAUGAACGCUGGCGGCGUGCCUAACACAUGCAAGUCGAACGGAUGCCUUCGGGCAUUAGUGGCGCACGGGUGAGUAACACGUGGUUGACCUACCCCAAAGUAGGGAUAACGUUCCGAAAGGAAUGCUAAUACCCUAUAAGCUCCCGAUGUUUAGAAGAUUGGGAGAAAAGUUCCGGCGCUUUGGGAGGAGACUGCGGGCC
rnacentral:rRNA from 1 species